GACGAACGCUGGCGGCGUGCUUAACACAUGCAAGUCGAACGAUGAAGCGCCAGCUUGCUGGUGUGGAUUAGUGGCGAACGGGUGAGUAACACGUGAGUAACCUGCCCCCUACUCUGGGAUAAGCCUGGGAAACUGGGUCUAAUACUGGAUAUGACCAAUCACUGCAUGGUGUAUUGGUGGAAAGAUUUUUUGGUGGGGGAUGGACUCGCGGCCUAUCAGCUUGUUGGUGGGGUAAUGGCCUACCAAGGCGACGACGGGUAGCCGGCCUGAGAGGGCGACCGGCCACACUGGGACUGAGACACGGCCCAGACUCCUACGGGAGGCAGCAGUGGGGAAUAUUGCACAAUGGGCGAAAGCCUGAUGCAGCGACGCCGCGUGAGGGAUGACGGCCUUCGGGUUGUAAACCUCUUUCACCAGGGACGAAGCUAACGUGACGGUACCUGGAGAAGAAGCACCGGCUAACUACGUG
rnacentral:rRNA from 1 species